rnacentral:rRNA from 1 species
UACGAAGGGGGCUAGCGUUGUUCGGAAUCACUGGGCGUAAAGCGCACGUAGGCGGACUUUUAAGUCAGAGGUGAAAUCCCAAGGCUCAACCUUGGAACUGCCUUUGAUACUGGAGGUCUCGAGUCCGGGAGAGGUGAGUGGAACUGCGAGUGUAGAGGUGAAAUUCGUAGAUAUUCGGAAGAACACCAGUGGCGAAGGCGACUCACUGGCCCAUUACUGACGCUGAGGCGCGAAAGCGUGGGGAGCAAACAGG